rfam:Klebsormidium nitens chloroplast DNA, scaffold: kfl01813, whole genome shotgun sequence.
GCGGAUGUAGCCAAAUGGUGAAGGCAGUGGAUUGUGGUUCCAUCAUGUGCGGGUUCGAGCCCCGUCAUUCGCC